GAUGAAGAACGUAGCGAAAUGCGAUAAGUAAUGUGAAUUGCAGAAUUCAGUGAAUCAUCGAAUCUUUGAACGCACAUUGCGCCCGCUAGUAUUCUGGCGGGCAUGCCUGUCCGAGCGUCAUUUCAACCCUCAAGCCCCCGGGCUUGGUGUUGGGGAUCGGCGAGCCUCCGCGCCCGCCGUCCCCUAAAUCUAGUGGCGGUCUCGCUGUAGCUUCCUCUGCGUAGUAGCACACCUCGCACUGGGAAACAGCGCGGCCACGCCGUUAAACCCCCAACUUCUGAACGUUUGACCUCGGAUCAGGUAGGAAUACCCGCUGAACUUAAACAUAUCAAUAAGCGGAGGA
rnacentral:misc_RNA from 1 species